UGAGGAAUAUUGGUCAAUGGGCGCAAGCCUGAACCAGCCAUCCCGCGUGCAGGAAGACGGCCCUAUGGGUUGUAAACUGCUUUUCCAGGGGGUGAAACUCCCGUACGAGUACGGGACUGACGGUACCUUGGGAAUAAGCAUCGGCUAACUCCGUGCCAGCAGCCGCGGUAAUACGGGGGGUGCAAGCGUUGUUCGGAAUUAUUGGGCGUAAAGAGCGUGUAGGCGGCUGAAUAAGUCAGAUGUGAAAUCCCUGGGCUUAACCCAGGACGUGCAUUUGAAACUGUUCAGCUUGAGUAGGGGAGAGGAAAGUGGAACUCCUGGUGUAGAGGUGAAAUUCGUAGAUAUCAGGAGGAACACCGGUGGCGAAGGCGACUUUCUGGCCCUAUACUGACGCUGAGACGCGAGAGCGUGGGUAGCAAACA
rnacentral:rRNA from 1 species